AACGCGAAGAACCUUACCUGGAUUUGACAUGCAAGUGACGUAUACAGAGAUGUAUAUUUCCCGCAAGGGACGCUUGCACAGGUGCUGCAUGGCUGUCGUCAGCUCGUGCCGUGAGGUGUUGGGUUAAGUCCCGCAACGAGCGCAACCCUUGUCGUUAGUUGCCAGCAAGUAAAGUUGGGAACUCUAACGAGACUGCCUGGGUUAACCAGGAGGAAGGUGAGGAUGACGUCAAGUCCGCAUGGCCUUUAUGUCCAGGGCUACACACGUGCUACAAUGGUCGGUACAGAAGGUAGCGAAGCCGCAAGGUGGAGCAAAUCCCUGAAAGCCGGCCCCAGUUCGGAUUGUAGUCUGCAACUCGACUACAUGAAGAUGGAAUUGCUAGUAAUGGCGGGUCAGCAACACCGCCGUGAAUACGUUCCCGGGCCUUGUA
rnacentral:rRNA from 1 species